UGAAAUAUAUGAGAAGAGAUUUAGUGAUGU
rnacentral:piRNA from 1 species